UCUGCACGUCCAGGACAAGUCCAAAACGACAGCGAGCAGGAUUGUGGGUCUGGAUCCAGUGGUGCGAAGUGGGUGAAAGCUUGUAGCACCUGGCAGACUUGUUCUGCAGUGAUACGGCUUCACUAAAUGCAGACAACACUACAGGGGGCCCUGUGUCAGUAGUAAAGCUCUGACGGUGGUCAUCUUCCGGCUGGAAGGCUAAAAUUUUCCACGGGGCUUGCUGCCCACAGCCAGAACCAGCUUUUCAACAACACGCAGCGCAGCAGCGUGGUCGCAACAAAAAAGCCACCUACUCCUUCGGGGAGAAGAGAAGAUGCAGACCCUUUAGAAAAUCGGUCAGUUCUCCCCCCCUCACCGCCCCACACCAACGCACAGACACCUUCCCAUCCCAUUGCUCGCUCAUCUAGUGGCAAAAUGAAGUCUGCAUCUUUAUUAGGGCUCCAAGAUGCUAGCAGAAGGGAAAUAAAAAAGAAAACCACAGCUUCUCGAGCUGUAACAGAUCCUACAUUCAGGCCGAGAGUGCUUCUCCGAGGAGGAGAGAAGUCUGGGCAUCGUGUUUGCUCAGUUGCAGAGCUCUGGGGCAGGUCUGGUUAUUUUAGGGAAAACUGCAAAACCAGAGGAGCUUGACUUGAACCGAGCAACCUCAGCACCCCUUUCGGUGUCGGAGGCAGAGAGCCUCCUGUUGCUGGUCGCACACAUUGCAGGCAGCGCGUUAUUAAAGCCCUCCCUCAUUAAGUGCAGAGCACAGCAUCAAAGUAAAUAAAUAAAACCUGCAGCCUGCUGGCGACAUCUUCAGCCACCCACUGCCAAGCGGUGACAUAAGAAGUGUGGGGCCGUGGGUGUCGUUGGCAGCCCAAGGGUUAAGCUGGGUUAGUCAUGUCCGGGCAGCCAGGGGCAGAUGCUCAGCCCCCGGACACCGAUGGUGGAAGGCCAGUGCCAUCUACGGGCCACAUCCUGCCUUGGAUGCUCUCCCUGCUGCUCCGGGCCGAGGGACAGCGGCGAGGACGGGUCUGGCUCAAAGGACUGCUGCUUCGAGCUGUCCUUAAGCUGGGAACAGGGAAAACUGGUGCAUGCAAGGAGAGACUGGCGAGCCAGAAGGGUUUGGGCCGUGCUAAGAGAGCAACUGUCGCUUGUGGAGGUGGGAAGAGAAGUUUGCUCGCAGCCCCUGGCGGCAGAGGCGCCGGGCUGGUGCUCCCAUCUGGCAGACCGGCUUCCAGUCGAGGCAGCUGGGACGAUACAGAAAGCCCCGAUGGAACCCCCAAAGCGGCUGUCCUGUCCCUGAUGGUUCCUGGGACACCACACAGCCCCGGGCUUGUACACGGCUGCAUAGCGAAGGACAAGAAAAGCACUGUCCUAAAAGCAGAGCUAUUAAGGCACGUGAUAGUGAAGCAACCUGUCACAUUCAGCCAUCUAAUUGUGCCAAAACUGGGAGGAAAACCCGUCUCCCAAAUACCAGGCAGUGCUCUGACAGUAAGUCCUUGCCUCAAGCACGAUUCUAUACCGGUCCUCCAAAGCUGGGAGAAAUACAAACAUGCACUGGCCACUGCAAAAAAAUGGUUGCUCUCUCCAUGCCCUUCCUGCAAACCAAGUAUCACUGAUCGUGAACAGCUAGUUUUGCCUAGAAAAUAUAACUAGAUUGAUAAAUAAAAGUAAAAGUGAGCUCCCAGAAGCUCUGAUGGGCUUCCUUGGUGGUUCGAGGGCGCCUUGUGCAGCCUUCCCCUGCCCUGGGGAGGCAGCACCCUCUGCUGCCGUCUCAGAGCAAACCAGUCCUUGCAAUAAAGCCUGCUGGACUUUGCUGUUACUUUGCUGGGGAUUUCCAGGCAGUUUUUUGUGGUUGCUUGGAUUCAGUCGCGUGCACAAUGCCUCUUCUCCUAGUAAGUAUGAUGAAUGAUCAAAUUUAACCGAGAAAGAAAUCCAUUAACUUUUAAAACCCUUUUAAUCAACUGCUUGUGAUGCUAGAAAAAAAGGCAGUGUGUGACUGGAGAACUCCUAGGCUUGAAAUGCAAUCCUCUAAUGAGGACGUCCCCCAUCUGGAGGGUGGGAAACAUUUUAGGAUGCUUAAACCUGAUCUCAGGCAAACUUCUAUAGGAAAGAAAUUACCCAGAGCCCCACAGAGCAAGGGUCUGCUUUUUAAUGGAAAACUUGAGAAGGUUUACCUGUUGCGGUGAGCUUCAGCAGGUGAUGUGAAAUUGCAAAAUGUUCACAGAACAGCAAAACCUCCCUACUUCCAACUAUAGAGCUUCCUGGAAUCACAGAUUUCCUACACAUGUGGUCGAAUGAGCCAAAUUACCAAAACACAAAAAAAUGAAGAAAGAGGUAUGUAGGACCUGCGUACAACAUCUUCUCAGUGUUAUCUGAUCAAAGAAGAGCUUGUUAAAGGUUAACAAACGUACUCAGAUUAAACCCAGCUUCAUCUCAUCUUGUUCUCUAACGACCAUACCUCAGCUUAUUUCCAGUAAUUUAUUAAAAAACCUUAAUAAAACCUUAAUAAAAAAACCUUAUCUCCAGGCAGCUUGCUACCCCUGCCUGGCACUAGUGGAAACGCCUAGAUGUGGUCCAGGACAAGGGAGGAAAUGUCCUUGUGUAUCUAAGGCUUGUCCUUGGGAAGUGGACAUAGGAUCAGAUAAGACAGCCUCAAUUUCGCCUUUUUCCCCGCAGGAAGACCGAAAUACCAGUCUGCAAAAUGACCACUGAAAACCUAGCUCCAGAAAGCAGUAAAGCAGAUAGAAAUGUGCUGCCUGUUGGCUGCAAGCCACCUCUCUGAGCGUGGCUGGAAGCAAGGCACAGUGACGUGCAGCAAAGCCGUUCUCUACAGCAGCAGCUCCCGACCGGCGAUCCUCUCUAGGCUGUCACCAGUCCUAACACAAAGUCAGUCAGAGGAGUCAUCUCGGCCAAAAUAAAACUGAAUUUUGUUGUUGUUCCACAUCUGAAUUCUGUUUUUCUCAUACAAGGACAAGCCUGGACAAGAAAGAUUGCUUAUAGACUUCUGCCAGUUACCAAUACCAGCACUAAGCAAUAAACAGAGUGGUUCAAACACCAGUGAUUUUCGCACUGGAAGGAGUGCAAUUGGUCUGCACGGAAAACUCCCUAGUGGGCUGGAAAGCAAACAAGUAUCCUGAUCCAGUCUGUUGGCUCGUCAGGAACACGCUGGAGUUGCCAACAAACACGGGUCACUGACAUCCUGUUUCUCUCCAGCUGCUCCAAGGGGUCAAACUGCAUCUCCAGAAGUGGGAGAAACUUGCAGGAGGCUUCCUGUUUCCACUUCUCUGCCCAAGAAACCAUCCUCAGGCCAGAGAGGCGAAAGGACGCCCGGACAGACGAAGAUGUCCCAGGCGUGCAGUAACUGGGGGAACCCUGGCAAGAGUCGGCGGUACCUCUACGUCUUCUUUAGCCCUGGCUAGUGUGACAUGCACUACACUAUGUAGCCGCAGUUGCAUGGCUGGGCAGUUGUCCCUGGUCAAACCAAGGCUGGGAUUGCCUUCAUUUGUAUUUCAAAUGCCUCUGCUGAGAUACACCCCUCUACAGACGAGCCCCUGCUGUGUUGAUUUCUCUGCAGAAGACUCAGCAGUUGCCUGAAUUAGGCGAUCAACAGCUGAGCUAGAAGAAUCCAGGAGUUCUGGAGUGAAAUGGAAGUGGGUUUGAGUUUCUCCAGUGGUUAGGCUUGGACUAGCACUGAUGAACGUUGCUGGUGCCCUGCUUCAGAAACUGUGCUACAAGAUAGUGGGAUCUGUGACUGCUCCAUCACACCGAGAUGCUUGAGGCACCCCUGGUGCCUCACGUCAGAGGGCAUUGUUUCUCCAUCUGUACAUGAGAUUUGGGGGGAGGUUCCCUUUCUUUCUGAGUCAUCACAAGAGCAAGUGACCAGCAGCGAGUUUGUAAAAGUUAGCCUCACACAACCCAUCACACUGGGCAGCGAAGACUUCCCAGUGCAGCAGUCAUCUCUAACCUGAUGUUCAGAGGAGGAUCUCACUAAGAAGGGAUCAAGGACUCAGCAGUGACAAAACAGGAGAGCUUCGUAAACAAAAUCAGCACCAGUGCGAUGGAUACAAAUGAAGAAUCAGACCUUUCUUUUACUGCGGAAGGGAGAUGAGCUCACAGGAAGGGGAGCUGUGCCUCCGAUUUGCCAGUAGCCUGCAGGUAACUAUCUUAAGUUAGAACUCUGCAGCUGCUGUUUCGUUCCUCAGGUGCCCUUCCCAUACAAAAAUGGGAUCGAAAGCUGCCUUUGCAGCUGUUUUUCCCUGAGCUGCAGUUCUGCUGGUGCUUAUCUCAGGAGAAGCAGCGGAGUUCCUCAGACUUUUUCUCACAUGAAUAGAGAAGGCCAUAUAAUCUCUCGUUAACAGAUUUUGCAGCUUCUGUUACUUCAGUUAAAUCCAGCCCAGCAGAGCUGAAACCCACCGAUGUCCUUUUCCCUUGGCGUGAAAACCAAGAGCUGCAGCACAGGUACCAUCCUUGCAGAGAAGGCUGGGGCUGAAACGUAAAAAACCGCUGAACUUCCUUCCUCAGACCAACUGAUGGGUAAGAGUGGCUGACAAGCAUCCAGAUCCCUUGCCCUCCCACAAGACCUCUUCCUACUCGUUACCAUAGCUGCUAUUACAUUAGAGAUUUAUCUCAGCUGUAAACCCUCGCUCAGGCUCCUCGUUAAUCUCCACCUAAAAACACGAGCUAUGGAAGAGCCCCGUGCACUAUCCCUACCCGAGCACGAGGGGAACUGAAUACAAAGAAAAUGAAAGUCAGCAUCAUUUCCCUCUGUUCCAACAGCUGCCUUUUAACCACCCCCACUGAACUGAGCUGAACUGAGGCAUAUUUGCUUUUAAAGAUACACAGCCUGGCUGUUUACUGCCUCGUGGAGCCCGGAAUGUUCCAUCUUUUCCUGAUUAAUUUAUAUGAACUAUAGGACGCCUAUCUAGCUCCAGAGGCUGUUUUUUUUUUUAAUUCAUGCUAGAAAUAUAUAUAUACUGAUACAUAUAUAUACGCACUAACAUAUAUAUGAUGCAGGAUUAUUGUAAUUUGUGGCUCUUGUGGAUAUUUGUAUAAAGGCACGUGGUCAGGCAGUUGGGAUAGACGAUUUUUGAAGGGCCCUUCCAACUGAACUGUUUUGUUCUAUUUUAUUCGAAUUAAAUGGUUCAUGGAGUGACUGAACAGCACGUCCACUGUCACCCCGUGUCCUGAUCCUUUGGUAAAGCGGUUACUGAGCAUUCAAAGACAUGCAGGUGAAAAAAGCAGUAUGACAAGAAUACAGCUGAAUCCCAAACAGAAAUAUAGCCAGGAAUGGCGCAUCAAAUGGCUGGCUUGAACGCAGUGCUAAUAAAGCGUGUGGUUUUUAUGAAAGAAGGUACAAAUUAAGCAGUAUUUUACCACUGCUUGGCACGAGUUAAUUGUGACUCUGGAGAAGGGAGUCAAGUCUUGGCCCUUUCCAGUUUAACAGCUCUCUUCUAAUCCAAAAUGUUUCUCUGUACAAAAUUUGCAAGAGCCUUUGAGAUCUAUUGGCUUCCUGAGGAUGUUUUCUUUCCUUUUGUUUUCUCCCUUUUUGCUAUACCUCUGCUGUCAUCCCAGACUUGGGGCCGGGUGUUUCACUGUGGUGUGUGGGCAGGAGCCCAGGGGAGGGGGAAAAAGCAGACCUAAUUACAGAGGAUGCUCUCAAAAAUAGAGUUGCUUUUCCCCUUGUCUGUGAGCUGGUGUGAGAGGUAGGUGUUCUAGUUCUUUCCAUAGUUUUGGAACAACAGAAGGGCGGAGUUACUGGCAGAUGGACUGUUGGACAUGGGUUUAAACUAAGCUCAGAGUUACACAGCCAUCACAAUAGAAACAACUGAAGUAAUUUUACAUAUUUAGCUUCCUUUCCUUCCUGCUGUCUCUUUUCCUUUAACGUUCUUUAUAAGAAUAUCAACCACCUAUUCAUUCCCUGCAGAUCCUCAGCGCGGCCACAACAUGACCACAUCCUGCCCCAAACAAUUACAUCAAAAAGGAAAAGCCAGCAGAACUGCUAGUGCUGGGCUGGGGAGAAGGAACGGCAGCAACGUACCAAUUCCUGGAGAUCUUCUUGGUGAAGAAAAACAAGCCCUGUAAAAUUCACUGCUUUGCUUCAUCCCGUUGAAAAACUUUGUUGUGCCAACAUUACAGGAGUCUGGGGAAAUAAAACUGUAAGAAGAGGG